rfam:Felis catus isolate Cinnamon breed Abyssinian chromosome C2, whole genome shotgun sequence.
GCCUGGGUGGCUCAGUCAGGUAAGCAUCUGACUUCAGCUCAGGUCAUGAUCUCACGGUUCAUGGGUUCAAGUCCCACAUCGGGCU